UUUUUUUUUUAAGUUGGGUUUAUUUCAUAAAAAAUUGCAAAGGAUGAAAUAAUCUGUUAAAGUCAGCCUACAGAUAUGUUCCACAAAAUUAUAUAAUCUAAAGUAGAAAAUAAUUUUAGGGCCCAAAUUAACAAAUAGAAACUUUGUACUUUGAAUUCAGAAGACAUUUUAUAGCAUUUUUGUCUUCCUUUCUCAAAGUUUCUCAAAGCCCCUUAUUCUAAGAAUUAAUUUCCUCUCCCCUAAAGUUAAAAGUCCAUCUUUUCACAUAAGUAUAAAACAGGAUCUAGAUUUCUCUAAUAUAGUGACUUAUGACUUUAAAACCCCUAGAUUCAGUUGUUUCAAUAGCAACAGCUAUAAUUACAUCCCCUUUUUGACACUGCUUUCCUGAUUUGAUCCUAUUUAAGCUUUCCAAGAACCAACAUAGUGACAACUUGUUUAUUCAGAAGAAAUCAAGAAAAGUAGGAUUAUAGUCAGAUGAGCAUACACUCAUGUCAUGUUCAACGAAAUGCUCUGGAAGCUUUGAAUGUUUUCUAAAAUGUUAAAUAUUUCAUGGCCACAAAGAUAUACUUCUCCGUGUCAUUCUAGGAAUUGGGUUUGUUUGUUUCUACAAUGCCUGUGCACCCUCUUAUGGACAUUUUAGGAUUUGCUUUGUUGAAAGAUUCCAUUUAUUCAAGGCUAUUCAAAGGUUUCAUCUUGUAAAUUUGAAUUUUUAUUAGGAUAAUGACAUUUACACACUUCACACCUUUAAAUCUGUGAUUUCAUAAUCCCAAAAAUUAAUUGAAGCUCACACCUCUUCACACUGUUGAGAAAACCAAAGUAGAUAGAGUUGAGGUUACUAGGAUAAUAAUUAGGAAACACUCCAUACUUUCCAAUUAUGUCUGACAUAUUAACAAGCUAAUAAGAAUUUUAGAUUCUGCUUCCUAGGCAUAAAACAAUUCAACAGUAAGGCCAUGAUUAGGUAUCACAGUUCUUAUUUCCUGAUACUGAUAUGACAAAAUCAAUUUAAGAAUUUGUUUGGGCCUUUUUUAUGCAAAGCAUGAAAAUGACUUCUAACUGAAGACAAUAGCCUAAAAAGAACAGCAGAAAUGUGGCUGUUUUCCAUUAAAAAGUAGCAACAGCAAGAUUAAACAAACACACACACACACACACACACACACGCACACACACACACACUUUACAGUUUAAUUGACUCAUGUGUUGUCUUGGAAACAUUAAAUUCCUUUAAACCUAGAGAUCUUAAAAAAAAAAAACUAACAACUAUUACCUUUCUAUUAUGUUUAAUUUGACACCCAUAAUAAAAGGAAAGACUGCUUAUUCUUUUCCUGACUUAAAAUCUCCUUUCUAUUACUCAUGAUCUCAUGUUUAGAAAACGUUUAGGAAAAAUGUGAGAAGUUUUAAUGACAACCUUUAUUUUUGAGUUCAUGCUGCUGUUAGUGAUAAGGAUAUCUGCUUUGUGGUGAAGAGAAGCAACUGUUCAAAUUCUACAUAAAGCAGGGGAACUACUGUUUAAAAUGUUUGUGAGGAGAACUGUUGCAUUUCCAUAUUUUUUUUUCUUACUGGGGUGACUGCCUCACAUUGUAAGACAUUUUUAAUUUGAAGUGUAACUUGAGCACCGUAUGGUCUUUAAACUCUUAACUUCUAUUAAUUUCGUAGGGUUUUUUUUUUUCCCUCAGUAAAGUACUUCAGGACCAAUAGAUACAUCUAUAAGUCAAUAACUUUGGUUUCGAAAUACAAUUGUUUUUACUAAGGGCACAAAAGUGUACUAACCAAGAGUGCAAGAAAUCCCAUAACUGAAUAACAUUUAAGGAGAUAGAAAACACAGUUUCAUCAAGCUAAAGCCAGGUAUUACAUAGAAUGAUGCUCCAAAUAUAUUAAGUUUCUGCUAACUCCCAAGUUACAAAUUAAAUCUAAAAAUAUAAUUUGGGGUGGUUGAACUGAAAAUGCAAUUAUUUUUCAUCAUAGAUAAUAGCACUUACAAAGAUCACCAAUGCCUGCAAUCUAUCGAUUCACAGGUUUCCAAUACGUCAUUAUUCGGUGUGUCAGAUGUUUUCACAGCAAAUACAUCUUCGGAACUUCAGGUUAUUGCCAGUUCCAGAAAUGCUCUUUAUAACUAUACUUUCAAAGAAUCUAAAAUCCUACAAGUCAUCUCUCUUACAAUACAACCAUGUCUAUUGUCUAAAAUACCUUGCUCAUAGUUUCUAAACACUGAAAAAUCUGAUAAGAAGUUGCCGAGUGAGCACUAACUAGUACCUUAUUGACCACUGGAAUCUACUUUACAAAUAAUGUAUCUUUUUAAAAAAGUGAGUAUGUUUUGCUAACGAGCAUCGCAAAUACAGGCGUUCAAAUGUUUUCUGUGCUACAAAAGUCUGAUACGUCCUACAAAAGUCUGAUAAUUUAAUUGUGCAUUCAAAGACAGAAAACAGUUAAAAUCUACUGGCCCCAACACUCACUUAGGAAGCCAGUAACGAGGGUUGUUUGAAAGCACAGUUCAAGGGUCCUGAACCACUUAGCAUAAAAUUCCAGGCCCUUAAAAUCAGCUACAGGACAGUACUUUUCAUUUCUUCAGCACUAUACCUUUGCACAACACAAUGAUUACACAUUUAGCCCCCUCUAUCAGAAACAAUGCCCUCCCUCAUUGUAGUACAUCAUUAUAUAUUGGGACUCCUCACACGGUAAUGCAAAUGAUUUGUUUGAAUGCCUAUCUCUCCCAGUAGACCACCAUACAUAAUUUCUUAAAGGCAGGAACUGAACUUAUUUUUAUAUUUCCUGGUACCUGAAUAGCACUAGUUUGAUGAAGCAACAUGACAGUAUUGGAUUCCAAAACAUCAUUAUAAAGACCUAUGUUUUAAUCCUACAUGCUCUGAGCUUUCCAUUUUCCAAAUAUGUAAAUAAUUAGCUAUUCUAAUCUUUGAGGAUUGCUGGGAAACUGAAAGAUACCUAUAAGUGACUAACUCAGUACCUGGCACAUAGAAGGUACUGUUACACAAGCUCAGUAAAUGUUAGUUGAAUUGAUCUUUCCCUGUAGCUCCUUCCAUUUAUAUAUUAACUCAAAAAUCUCUCCAGAUUUUUCAAAAUUUAAACAACUAUGUUGUUCCUUCUUACACUUUGCCAUAUACCAUAAUUUAAACAUAAUCAUAUCUAUACAAAUAAAGAAUUUCACUGUAUACUCAGGCAAUUUAAGCAUUUGAAAACAGUAAGUUCAAUUUUUUCCAGGCAUGAAAUAUCCUAAGAAAUGGGAACUAAAGUUCAGGGCAUCCAGCUUUAUUUUCUCUUCUAUUUCUCAACAAAAGAGAAAAAAAAAUGCUUCAAUAUUUAUAAGACUAAGAAUAAUGGAUGUGCAUAAUUUCGCUUUAACAUACAUUUCUGCCUUUUAAACCCAGUUUAAACUCAGUGAAAGGCCAAGAACAUGGACUUAAUUAUGCAGAAAAAAAAAAAAGAUGCCUUAACUGCAGUGCACAUUCAAUAGACAAAAUCCAAAGAAAGCAAUCCUGCCUGAAACGUUUACAAAUCAAUUCAUUAUAUUGAUUUGGAAUGAGUUGUGCUGUAAUUUAAAGCAUAGAUUACUGCAGGCCAAACUUGAUAAAGCUUUUUUAAGGUACUUCACUUGGCUAUGGACUUGACCUGAGAAUUUUCAAGACACGGUGAUUUGCCAAACCAAAAAAAAAAAAAAAAAAAAAAAA
rnacentral:lncRNA from 1 species